UGGGGAAUUUUGGACAAUGGACGAAAGUCUGAUCCAGCCAUUCCGCGUGCAGGACGAAGGCCUUCGGGUUGUAAACUGCUUUUGUACGGAACGAAAAAGCCUUGGCUAAUACCCGGGGUCCAUGACGGUACCGUAAGAAUAAGCACCGGCUAACUACGUGCCAGCAGCCGCGGUAAUACGUAGGGUGCGAGCGUUAAUCGGAAUUACUGGGCGUAAAGCGUGCGCAGGCGGUUUUGUAAGACAGAGGUGAAAUCCCCGGGCUCAACCUGGGAACUGCCUUUGUGACUGCAAGGCUAGAGUGCGGCAGAGGGGGAUGGAAUUCCGCGUGUAGCAGUGAAAUGCGUAGAUAUGCGGAGGAACACCGAUGGCGAAGGCAAUCCCCUGGGCCUGCACUGACGCUCAUGCACGAAAGCGUGGGGAGCAAACAGGAUUAGAUACCCUGGUAGUCCACGCCCUAAACGAUGUCAACUGGUUGUUGGGUCUUUGCUGACUCAGUAACGAAGCUAACGCGUGAAGUUGACCGCCUGGGGAGUACGGCCGCAAGGUUG
rnacentral:rRNA from 1 species